rnacentral:lncRNA from 1 species
GCCAAAAACCAUGAUAUAGAUAUACACACAAUAAUCAUAUAAAAAUCAAUACAAACUUCACAAACAAAAAUGUAUCUUGACAUCACAACUUAAAUUGACAUCACUUGAUCAAAGUCCUGGCACCGCCACUGGUGCGACUGAUAUGGAAGUACAAAAGGAUCUUCACAUAAUCCUGUCUUUCUUUCUUUUCCCAACCCAGGGAACACUCCACGCCUAUCUGGUUAGUUGCUACUGCACACCGGAUUAGGCCAUCAAGAAUUCGAAGAUAAGCAAUGAAACUAGGGAAGCUUGGUUUUGCCAUGUAUCUAUUGAGGCCUCUCACAAUGAUCCUACGUGACACCGUCUGUAAAACGUGAACAUUAGCAUUUAGUCCGUGGAACACAUAAUGAAUGAAAAAAGAAUUAAAAAAAACAAAGCAUUGGGAUGUUUCAAGAGACGACAUCACUAGAGUCUAGACAUUGGGAGAGGCGUGCGUGACCCGGGACGCCUGUACUGCAUAGUUGUAAGAAGUCAACCCAGCAAUUCUAAGUCGGAGGAAUAAGAACACAGACCAACGGGCAAAUCCAAGAAAAACCCACUGG